rnacentral:rRNA from 1 species
AGAGUUUGAUCCUGGCUCAGGAUAAACGCUGGCGGCGCACAUAAGACAUGCAAGUCGAACGAACUUAACCAUUAGUUUACUAUUGGAGCGGUUAGUGGCGGACUGGUGAGUAACACGUAAGCAACCUGCCUAUCAGAGGGGAACAACAGUUAGAAAUGACUGCUAAUACCGCAUAUGCCUUGAGUAUCACAUGGUACAAAAGGGAAAGGAGCAAUCCGCUGAUAGAUGGGCUUGCGUCUGAUUAGAUAGUUGGUGGGGUAACGGCCCACCAAGUCGACGAUCAGUAGCCGGACUGAGAGGUUGAACGGCCACAUUGGGACUGAGAUACGGCCCAGACUCCUACGGGAGGCAGCAGUCGGGAAUAUUGCGCAAUGGAGGAAACUCUGACGCAGUGACGCCGCGUGCAGGAAGAAGGUUUUCGGAUUGUAAACUGCUUUAGACAGGGAAGAAACAAGACAGUACCUGUAGAAUAAGCUCCGGCUAACUACGUGCCAGCGGCCGCGGUAAUACGUAGGGAGCAAGCGUUAUCCGGAUUUAUUGGGUGUAGAGGGUGCGUAGACGGGAAAUUAAGUUAGUUGUGAAAUCCCUCGGCUUAACUGAGGAACUGCAACUAAAACUGGUUUUCUUGAGUGCUGGAGAGGAAAGUGGAAUUCCUAGUGUAGCGGUGAAAUGCGUAGAUAUUAGGAGGAACACCAGUGGCGAAGGCGACUUUCUGGACAGUAACUGACGUUGAGGCACGAAAGUGUGGGGAGCAAACAGGAUUAGAUACCCUGGUAGUCCACACCGUAAACGAUGGAUACUAGGUGUAGGGUGUGAUAAACAUUCUGUGCCGUCGCAAACGCAGUAAGUAUCCCACCUGGGGAGUACGGCCGCAAGGUUGAAACUCAAAGGAAUUGACGGGGGCCCGCACAAGCAGUGGAGUAUGUGGUUUAAUUCGACGCAACGCGAAGAACCUUACCAGGGCUUGACAUAUACAUGAAAGUCUAAGAGAUUAGACCCCUCUUCGGAGCGUGUAUACAGGUGGUGCAUGGUUGUCGUCAGCUCGUGUCGUGAGAUGUUGGGUUAAGUCCCGCAACGAGCGCAACCCCUGUUCUUAGUUACCAGCGAGUUAAGUCGGGAACUCUAAGAAGACUACCGGUGAUAAAUCGGAGGAAGGUGGGGACGACGUCAAAUCAUCAUGCCCUUUAUGUCCUGGGCUACACACGUACUACAAUGGCUGUAACAAAGGGAAGCUAAGCCGCGAGGUGGAGCAAAACCCAAAAAAGCAGUCUCAGUUCGGAUUGAAGGCUGAAAUUCGCCUUCAUGAAGCCGGAAUUGCUAGUAAUGGCAGGUCAGCAUACUGCCGUGAAUACGUUCCCGGGCCUUGUACACACCGCCCGUCACACCAUGAGAGUUGGGAAUACCCGAAGCCUGUGAGCUAACUUUUAGAGGCAGCAGUCGAAGGUAGAAUCAAUGAUUGGGGUGAAGUCGUAACAAGGUA